rnacentral:rRNA from 1 species
UUUAGUAUUUGAACCUGGCUCAGGACGAACGCUGGCGGCGUGCCUAAUACAUGCAAGUCGAGCGAUGAUUAAAGAUAGCUUGCUAUUUUUAUGAAGAGCGGCGAACGGGUGAGUAACGCGUGGGAAAUCUGCCGAGUAGCGGGGGACAACGUUUGGAAACGAACGCUAAUACCGCAUAACAAUGAGAAUCGCAUGAUUCUUAUUUAAAAGAAGCAAUUGCUUCACUACUUGAUGAUCCCGCGUUGUAUUAGCUAGUUGGUAGUGUAAAGGACUACCAAGGCGAUGAUACAUAGCCGACCUGAGAGGGUGAUCGGCCACACUGGGACUGAGACACGGCCCAGACUCCUACGGGAGGCAGCAGUAGGGAAUCUUCGGCAAUGGGGGCAACCCUGACCGAGCAACGCCGCGUGAGUGAAGAAGGUUUUCGGAUCGUAAAACUCUGUUGUUAGAGAAGAACGUUAAGUAGAGUGGAAAAUUACUUAAGUGACGGUAUCUAACCAGAAAGGGACGGCUAACUACGUGCCAGCAGCCGCGGUAAUACGUAGGUCCCAAGCGUUGUCCGGAUUUAUUGGGCGUAAAGCGAGCGCAGGUGGUUUCUUAAGUCUGAUGUAAAAGGCAGUGGCUCAACCAUUGUGUGCAUUGGAAACUGGGAGACUGAGUGCAGGAGAGAGACGAUACU